GGGGCUGUAGCUCAGUGGUAGAGCACUUGCCUAGCAUGUGUGAGGCAGUGGGUUUGAUUCUCAGCACCA
rfam:Ictidomys tridecemlineatus contig096650, whole genome shotgun sequence.